rnacentral:rRNA from 3 species
CCACCACCAAAGCAUUUGCUGUACCGCGUUGACGGAGCGAAGCGACGUCAAACCGAUAAAACAGCAGUGUAAAGUGAGCCGCAGGGCGCUUUGCGCGACAGCGCAAAGGCAGGCGGUUUCGCGUAGCGAAAGCGAAUGCUUUGGGGUGGGGUGACUGCGUACCUUUUGUAUAAUGGGUCAGCGACUUAUAUUCUGUAGCAAGGUUAACCGAAUAGGGGAGCCGGAGGGAAACCGAGUCUUAAUUGGGCGUUAAGUUGCAGGGUAUAGACCCGAAACCCGGUGAUCUAGCCAUGGGCAGGUUGAAGGUUGGGUAACACUAACUGGAGGACCGAACCGACUAAUGUUGAAAAAUUAGCGGAUGACCUGUGGCUGGGGGUGAAAGGCCAAUCAAACCGGGAGAUAGCUGGUUCUCCCCGAAAGCUAUUUAGGUAGCGCCUCGUGAAUUCAUCUCCGGGGGUAGAGCACUGUUUCGGCUAGGGGGCCAUCCCGGCUUACCAACCCGAUGCAAACUGCGAAUACCGGAGAAUGUUAUCACGGGAGACACACGGCGGGUGCUAACGUCCGUCGUGAAGAGGGAAACAACCCAGACCGCCAGCUAAGGUCCCAAAGUCAUGGUUAAGUGGGAAACGAUGUGGGAAGGCCCAGACAGCCAGGAUGUUGGCUUAGAAGCAGCCAUCAUUUAAAGAAAGCGUAAUAGCUCACUGGUCGAGUCGGCCUGCGCGGAAGAUGUAACGGGGCUAAACCAUGCACCGAAGCUGCGGCAGCGACACUGUGUGUUGUUGGGUAGGGGAGCGUUCUGUAAGCCUGUGAAGGUGUGUCGUGAGGC